UACGUAGGGUGCAAGGCGUUGUCCGGAAUUAUUGGGCGUAAAGAGCUCGUAGGCGGUCUGUCGCGUCUGCUGUGAAAACUCGGGGCUUAACCCCGGGCUGCAGUGGGUACGGGCAGACUAGAGUGCGGUAGGGGAGACUGGAAUUCCUGGUGUAGCGGUGAAAUGCGCAGAUAUCAGGAGGAACACCGGUGGCGAAGGCGGGUCUCUGGGCCGUAACUGACGCUGAGGAGCGAAAGCAUGGGGAGCGAACAGG
rnacentral:rRNA from 1 species